UACGUAGGUGGCAAGCGUUAUCCGGAUUUACUGGGUGUAAAGGGCGUGUAGGCGGGGACGCAAGUCAGAUGUGAAAACCACGGGCUCAACCUGUGGCCUGCAUUUGAAACUGUGUUUCUUGAGUACUGGAGAGGCAGACGGAAUUCCUAGUGUAGCGGUGAAAUGCGUAGAUAUUAGGAGGAACACCGGUGGCGAAAGCGGCUCUCUGGCCUGUAACUGACACUGAGGCUCGAAAGCGUGGGGAGCAAACAGG
rnacentral:rRNA from 1 species